rnacentral:rRNA from 1 species
GAUGAACGCUGGCGGCGUGCCUAAUACAUGCAAGUCGAGCGAACAGACGAGGAGCUUGCUCCUCUGACGUUAGCGGCGGACGGGUGAGUAACACGUGGAUAACCUACCUAUAAGACUGGGAUAACUUCGGGAAACCGGAGCUAAUACCGGAUAAUAUAUUGAACCGCAUGGUUCAAUAGUGAAAGACGGUUUUGCUGUCACUUAUAGAUGGAUCCGCGCCGCAUUAGCUAGUUGGUAAGGUAACGGCUUACCAAGGCAACGAUGCGUAGCCGACCUGAGAGGGUGAUCGGCACAACUGGAACUGAGCAACGGUCCAGACUCCUACGGGAGGCAGCAGUAGGGAAUCUUCCGCAAUGGGCGAAAGCCUGAGGGAGAAACGCGGCGGGAGUGAUGAAGGUCUUCGGAUCGUAAAACUUUGUUAUUAGGGAAGAACAAAUGUGUAAGUAACUAUGAACGUCUUGACGGUACCUAAUCAGAAAGCCACGGCUAACUACGU